rnacentral:rRNA from 1 species
AACGAACGCUGGCGGCAGGCUUAACACAUGCAAGUCGAACGCAUCCUUCGGGGUGAGUGGCAGACGGGUGAGUAACGCGUGGGAACAUGCCCUUCAGUUCGGAAUAACCCAGGGAAACUUGGGCUAAUACCGGAUACGUGCGAGAGCAGAAAGAUUUAUCGCUGAAGGAGUGGCCCGCGUCUGAUUAGCUAGUUGGUGAGGUAAAGGCUCACCAAGGCGACGAUCAGUAGCUGGUCUGAGAGGAUGAUCAGCCACACUGGGACUGAGACACGGCCCAGACUCCUACGGGAGGCAGCGGUGGGGAAUCUUGGACAAUGGGCGCAAGCCUGAUCCAGCCAUGCCGCGUGAGUGAUGAAGGCCCUAGGGUUGUAAAACUCUUUCGUGGGGGACGAUAAUGACGGUACCCCAAGAAGAAGCUCCGGCUAACUUCGUGCCAGCAGCCGCGGUAA